GACGAACGCUGGCGGCGUGCUUAACACAUGCAAGUCGAACGGCAAGGCCCUGCUUUUGUGGGGUGCUCGAGUGGCGAACGGGUGAGUAACACGUGAGUAACCUGCCCUUGACUUUGGGAUAACUUCAGGAAACUGGGGCUAAUACCGGAUAGGAGCUCCUGCUGCAUGGUGUGGGUUGGAAAGUUUCGGCGGUUGGGGAUGGACUCGCGGCUUAUCAGCUUGUUGGUGGGGUAGUGGCUUACCAAGGCUUUGACGGGUAGCCGGCCUGGGAGGGUGACCGGCGACAUGGGGACUGAGAUACGGCCCAGACUCCUACGGGAGGCAGCAGGGGGGAAUAUGGCACAAUGGGCGGAAGCCUGAUGCAGCAACGCCGCGUGCGGGAUGACGGCCUUCGGGUUGUAAACCGCUUUCGCCUGUGACGAAGCGUGAGUGACGGUAAUGGGUAAAGAAGCACCGGCUAACUACGUG
rnacentral:rRNA from 1 species